rnacentral:rRNA from 1 species
CCUACGGGAGGCAGCAGUGGGGAAUAUUGCACAAUGGGGGAAACCCUGAUGCAGCCAUGCCGCGUGUGUGAAGAAGGCCUUCGGGUUGUAAAGCACUUUCAGUUGUGAGGAAAGUUUAGUAGUUAAUACCUGCUAGAUGUGACGUUAGCAACAGAAGAAGCACCGGCUAACUCCGUGCCAGCAGCCGCGGUAAUACGGAGGGUGCGAGCGUUAAUCGGAAUUACUGGGCGUAAAGCGCACGCAGGCGGUCUGUUAAGCUAGAUGUGAAAGCCCCGCGCUCAACGUGGGAGGGUCAUUUAGAACUGGCAGACUAGAGUCUUGGAGAGGGGAGUGGAAUUCCAGGUGUAGCGGUGAAAUGCGUAGAGAUCUGGAGGAACAUCAAUGGCGAAGGCAACUCCCUGGCCAAAGACUGACGCUCAUGUGCGAAAGUGUGGGUAGCGAACAGGAUUAGAUACCCUGGUAGUCCACACCGUAAACGCUGUCUACUAGCUGUUUGUGAAUUUAAUUCGUGAGUAGCGAAGCUAACGCGAUAAGUAGACCGCCUGGGGAGUACGGCCGCAAGGUUAAAACUUAAAGGAAUUGACGGA